rnacentral:tRNA from 1 species
UCUCCUAUGGUGUAAUGGUUUAGCACAGAAGACUCUAAAUCUUUUAGUCAGGGUUCGAAUCCUUGUGGGAGAA